rnacentral:lncRNA from 1 species
UUGGUGGUCCUCGGCGGUCAUAGGCAGGAAAUAUUUAAAAAAUUCCAAAAAAAUAAUUAUCAAAUAUUACAACAAAAUUUUAAAAUUUUAAACUUUUAAGCUUUCAAAUUUUUAAAUAUUAUACUAAAAUUUUUAAAAUUUCAAAAUUUUAAAGCUUAAAAUUUCUAAAUACUUAAUUUUUUAGGAAAUAUUAAUUUUUUAAAUAAUUUUAUUAAUAAUUUAGGGUCCCCGAUUAAUCCCUGCCGAGUCUGAUUAAUCGUUUAUUGUUAGUCAACCGUCAAGCUACCACCGAACGAUUUUUACAAACUUGAGUAAUAAUAAAAAUCGUUAAAAGUACAUAAAAUCUAAAAUAAUAAGCUAUUUUUUUACAACUUUUACUGACUUUUUGACAAAAACUAUUAGUGAAACCAAAUAGAGGUACGACAGUGAAAAUCAUCUAUAUUUUAAUAAAUCAAGAUAUUUGUAUGCAAAACUGUAGUUAGAAAUAGUUACAUGGUGGAUUAUAUUUUUAAAUAAACAUAAAGACAUCUAUCGUAACUCUGGUUNUUUUUUUUUUUUUUUUUUUUUUUUUUUUUUUUGCUGAAAUAGAUGUCUCGUAUUGAUAUUCAAUACAAAUAUUGCACAUUUUCACUCCCUAAUGGGUCCUUAACUCUUUUAGCACUAAAAAUUCCAGAAAAGUAAAUUUAACUGUGUUAGAUUUCACCAAGCCAAAUUUGAAAAGGAAGUGAGUGGCUGCUAAAGUAACAUGACCACAUAUUUCCACCUGGAUAGAAGAAACUGAGAACAUAAUAAUUCUAACCUGAAAAAAUAAAGAUAAAAGCACAUUAGAUAGAAUUUAAAUUCAAGUCAACAGAAGUCAAUACACACGGGGUGUAUUCUUCCAUGUCUUGCCACCACAAUUGCAUUCUGUCUUAAAAAAAUUAAAAAUUAAUAAAUGAUAAAAAUAAGUUAAAAUUGUUACAAGAAUAGACAUUUAGAAAUACAUACAUGUUAGAAUAUACCAUUGUCAUAUGCGUCCAUGAAACUUUUUGAUUAGACAUUAUUCUUAAUCGUUUGUCACCGAUCCAUUCUUCCAUGUCUUGUAUUACGAUCAAAUAACUAUAGAAAAAAAUAUGCCAUAUCCAAUCAAGUAUAUGGUAACAUACAACUGAAUUGUUUAGUAUAGUAUAAAGAAUACAAACUAUAUACACAUCAUUUGAAUCUUGCAAAGGAAUACCAAGCUGUUAACAUCAAUGUCUUAAAAGUAAAAGUGUUUUUCUAUGUUUUCGGUAUACCCUCCUUCGAUUCCUUCUGGAAACUCUUCUUCUUCUAUUCAUGGCUAGAACCUGGGCUGAGUGAGACCAUUCGGCCAUGGUUUAGCUGCUUCAACCCAACCAUGAUCCAGUCAGCUAUAAUACAACAACUAAUUUACAAUGAAACGACAUUCACUCGACUCUUUUGGUGCACAAUAGAAUCACAUGCUUCAUCUCCUCUGUACCCAGCCAUGUCUGAACCACCACCUGCCCAAAAAAUAUAUACGAAUAUAAUAUGUCAUUUACAAUAAAUAUGAGAAAAAAUGUAUGUUGCAACUGGUAAUAAAAGUAUAUCUAUGAGUUUAUAUUCAAGCAACAAAUCUGGCAUUGAAAAGUCAAAAUAUACCUCUUGUACUUUGUCUCCAGCUCGAACAACCAAUUUGUACUGAUUCUUGAACAUGGAUGCCAUAUAAACCUGCUAAGAAUUCAUAAAAGACCCAAAUUUAUUCAAUACCCGAUACCUAAAACCAAUCAAGGAAGAAAAAAAAGAUCACCAGAAAUGUUGGGACGGAAGUCUCAUACAAACACUUUCUUCUUUAUUUGGACUAGAAAAGAAACAAACCUAAAAGUGCUAUAUAAACAAACUAGCAAAGACUGUUUCUUUUUGGGACUGAAUAAAUGAUCUUUUCCCUUUAUUCAAUUCCCAUCCAACUGCAUUAGGCACAUGAUCUUGAUCUGGCCAUGCUGAUUCAAAUAAAAGUAAUAAAAAAAGUCUCACGAGUGCCCUUGCCUUAUUUUUCUUUUCUUGAAGACAAGAGGAUCAAAACUUGAAGAGAAUCCAAACCUACAAAGUCUGACCUUUUUCUUGUCAUCUUCUUCAGUGGGUGUUACAUAUUUUAUCCCAAAUCUGAAAACAAAGAAUACAUUGAUAUGAUUAUAUGUCAAAAUAAUAUCUUCUUUUUAAUUUAUGAUGAGUUAUUAUUAUUUGAUGAUAUAUUCAUAAAAACCACUAUGUUGCAGCCUUUUUUUUUCAGCUCCUUCACUUCCUUUGUGACACCAGAACCUUCCGAGCCAGGUGCAGUACCAAACCUGAAGUACAAAAAGUCGUUUUUAUUAAGUAACAACAGUGUUGCAGAAAUCAACAUUGAUAGCCGAUUAAUUGCAUGACAGCCUCAAACCAAUUACGAUUACGAUGCUUGGCAGAAAUUGGUCAUAAUCGGUCAAACUCGGGCUUGUCGGUCCUUAGCGGCCUUGGCGGUCCUCGGCGGUCAUAGGCAGGAAAUAUUUAAAAAAUUCCAAAAAAAUAAUUAUCAAAUAUUACAACAAAAUUUUAAAUUUUCAAAUUUUUAAGCUUUCAAGUUUUUAAAUAUUAUACUAAAAUUUUUAAAAUUUCAAAAUUUUAAAGUUUAAAAUUUCCAAAUACUUAAUUUUUUAGGAAAUAUUAAUUUUUUAAAUAAUUUUAUUAAUAAUUUAGGGUCCCUGAUUAAUCCCUACCGAGUCUGAUUAAUCGUUUAUUGUUAGUCAACCGUCGAGCUACCACCGAACAAUUUUUAUAAACUUGAGUAACAAUAAAAAUCGUUAAAAGUACAAAAAAUCUAAAAUAAUAACCUAUUAUACAACUUUUACUGACUUUUUGACAAAAACUACCAGUGAAACCACAUAGAGGUACGACAGUCAAAAUCAUCUAUAUUUUAAUAAAUCAAGAUAUUUGUAUGCAAAACUGUAGUUAGAAAUAGUUACACGGUGGAUUAUAUUUUUAAAUAAACAUAAAGACAUCUAUCAUAACUCUGGUUUUUUUUUUUUUUUUUUUNUUUUUUUUUUUUUUUUUUUUUUUUUUUUUUUUUUUUUGCUGAAAUAGAUGUCUCGUAUUGAUAUUCAAU